UUACGGCCAUAUAGCGUUGAAACACCGGUUCCCGUACGAUCACCAAAAUUAAACAACGUCGAAACUGAUCAGUACCUAGGUGGGUGAUCGCUUGAGAAUACCAGGCUG